UACAGAGGUCCCAAGCGUUGUUCGGAUUCACUGGGCGUAAAGGGUUCGUAGGCGGUGUGGCAAGUCGGGAGUGAAAUCUCUGGCUCAACUCAGAGACUGCUUCCGAAACUGCUGUGCUGGAGUGUGGGAGAGGCGCGUGGAAUUCCGUGGUGUAGCGGUGAAAUGCGCAGAUAUCAGGAGGAACACCGGUGGCGAAGGCGCCACUCUGGGCCGAAACUGACGCUGAGGAGCGAAAGCGUGGGUAGCAAACAGG
rnacentral:rRNA from 1 species